UAUUUAUGAAUAUAUAACGUUGGGUUUCUGCUUCUUCCUGUUUUUCUAUUUCAUUUAGCAACCCAGUUUUUGUCACAAGGAACCCUUUCAUUUUCAAUUCCUGGAUCGUCAGGCUCCUCACAGAUAGGACUAUGCGUGCAAUUCCAUCCAUUUGUGACAUGCGUGUUGUUUCUUACUUGGGAAGGAUUCCGACAAGUCUGCACGAGGGCUGACAUUGAAUGGCUGUGCAAGCUUUUAGCUGAACCCUUGUGUAUCCUCUCCCAAAAUUUGCUCUUGCUUAAAAUGUGGUUGAUUGUUGAAACAGCAGCUACCUUUUUGCAUUGUCUGACAAUGUACAUCAUUCUUUCCAAGUAAAGACUAGGAACUAUAAUGGAUUGUGAUAAGCAGCUGCUAGCAUGUGUUUUCUGUUCACUCAUAUAUCCUCUCAAAAGCUAAUUCUUCAAAAAAGAGGAAAAGAUUGUUCUUGUAUGGUUGGAUACCCCAAACAACCAGGCUAUAUAUGGACUUGUUCACAAGUUAGGGAGCUUAGUUGUGAGAUUGGUGUUUCUUCCAUUCAAGGAAAGUUCACAUGCUACAUUUUCCAGGACAAGAUCCAACAAAAGUAGGAAAUUGAUGACAUAUUCUUUAUUAAAUUGAAAUUCUCUGGUCACUGGUUUCUUGACUAUUCUGAGGAUAUGAUUUCGAGGGUUAUAUUCUCUGCAUUAUUCAUCAAACACUACUUCCAGGAUUCUUCUGCAUUUUCUUUUACCAGCUGCUUACCUUCAGGUUGGACAGUUCUGUUGUUUUCUGGUGUAAUUACUCUCAUAUCCGAGAAAUUAUUUCUGGACCACAAAAAUUUCUGGCCAGCAUUUAAAAUCCACUUCUCUAUCAGCUUAAGUUGCUUCUGCAUAGCAUCUUUCAUCAUUUACCGCUGUGAGAGGCCUUUUAUCAACCAAAUUAUCCCUAACAAACAAGAGCCUCUGAAUGCAGCACAAAAAACACAAGGGCAAGGGAGUUAAGUUAAAUCUUGAUUCAGAGUGAAAGAGGAUGAAUUACUCUGUUGAAGUCCAUUUCAUGUUACAGUGGGAUUAUUAGUAGCAAGGCUUUAUAGCUGCAUUUGUUGAAUCUAAGCCAGAGCCAAACGAGUGAAAAGGUUCCUUCUCUUGCCAGAAUUACUCGAUACCCAACAAAGAACUACGGAUCACUUCCUCCUCAAUUUGGGCUAGAACUUCACGCUUCAAUAACAGCGUUGCUAGUAGUGUUGUUUAUUUUCAAAACAAUAAUACACUGCAUUGUUUAGCUUACGAACUACAUUGCAAUUUUAUUUUGCAAUUUUUGUGCGCUAAUAAAGCUUUUCCUUUGUGUCAAAAA